AGCAGCCGCGGUAAUUCCAGCUCCAAUAGCGUAUAUUAAAGUUGUUGCAGUUAAAAAGCUCGUAGUUGAAUUUCGGGGUUCUACCGUUGGUCGGGCAAUUGUCUGUACUGGCGUGUGGAAUUCCUACCUUCUGGGGAACCAUCAUGUUAUUAAUCUAGUGUGGUGGGAAACCUGGACCUUUACCUUGAAAAAAUUAGAGUGUUUAAAGCAGGCUUACGUUUGAAUACGUUAGCAUGGAAUAAUAAAAUAGGACGGUGGUCCUGUUUUGUUGGUUUCUGAAUCACCGUAAUGAUUAAUAGGGAUAGUUGGGGGCAUUAGUAUUCAAUUGUCAGAGGUGAAAUUCUUGGAUUUAG
rnacentral:rRNA from 1 species